UAGUGUUGUGAUAUGUUGCUUGAAUUUGCAGUCCUGGACCCGCGAUUGACGGAGUUGCCGCCCUUGGAGGGCAUGACUGAUGAAGAAGAGAUAAAAUUGCUCACGGGCCUGCUGAACCGAAAUCCCCCCAGGUAUAGGGGUGCUGCCCGGGUUGAAGGUGAAGGGCGGUCGCAGGCAAGGCGGCGUACGCCGGCUCAAGGCCGA
rnacentral:lncRNA from 1 species